UGAGCUUCCUGGUGUCUACCUUACGCCUUGUGCAAGGCCUGUUGUAAUUCAAGCAUCUUUUGCAGUUUGAAUACUCUGUGUACUAUAUGUUAAAUGUUUUUCUUUAAAAAGAAAACCAUUAUUAUUAUUAUACACAUAUUCUGUAGCACUUUGUAAUUAUAGAAUAGAGAUAGCUGACAACAAAGAAUUCACAUACAGAAUAUUAACAGAAACAAGAGGUUUUCA